GUUCUCAAGAGAUCUGACAGUUUUAUAAGGGUCUUUUCCCCUUUUGCUCAGCACUUCUCCUUCCUGCCUGCCACCAUGUGAAGAAGGAUGUGUUUGCUUCCCCUUCCACCAUGACUGUAAGUUUCCUGAGGCCUCCCCAGCCAUGCUGAACGCAGCCUCAGCACCCCCUGGGAGCUCGAGACAUCUAAGGAGUUGACUGAGGCCCCUCCCUGACAUACUGAAGCGGAAUCUGCAUUUUAGCAAGAUCUGCAGGCAUGUGUGGGCCAUUGCAGCCUGAAUUAAUCAGGAGGGAAGAAGAAGUGCGACGAUAACUGGCCAGUGAUACACAGUGGGAGACAGACUGCGGAACUGCCCAUGAGGCCAAGCACCUAUUAGUAGACCAAGAAGCAUCACCCAUCCAUGGCCUAAGUCGGCAGCCAGCUAUUGUUCUCAUCUGAGUCUGGGAGUUCAGGAUUUCCAUCCUGACCCGGCUACUUUCUUUCAACAGUUACCCACUGUAAAUUUCCGAAUACUUUCAGCUACUAAUCCCAGUGUACCCAAUUAAAAAUGGCUUUCCUAAUAAAGGCAUUUCAGAUCGAAUUUA
rnacentral:lncRNA from 1 species